GGCUUGAGGACAUGAAGGCAUCUACAUAUAAUCCCUGUUCUUCAAGAGCCUGUAUUCUUCUUAGAGGAGAAAUCUGGGAUGAAGGUCGUACUGCUUUGGAGACCAUGAUGAAGAGCCUGGGAUCUUAACCUUUAUACAGACUGGCAUCCUGGUGAAUAGAUUGUAUCUUAUGGACUCUCUCUUUCCUUGUGAGUAUAUAUGAAAUGCUGGACAAAUAACCUUCACACCACCACAACAAAGACAGGAUUCUCAGAAUUCUCAGGCAAUUUAUCACCUCUUCAUAUUACUCGGCCUACUUCCUAUCUUGGGAAACAACAUUUCCUAGGAGAAAUUCCACCUUUCCAGUGAUACUAUCACUAUCAGAUCUCUGGCAUCCGAAGGAAGACAGACUAGGAGGAAACAGUAAGCUAUUUAGGAUCUUGUUGGACAU